rnacentral:rRNA from 1 species
UACGUAGGGUGCGAGCGUUGUCCGGAAUUACUGGGCGUAAAGAGCUCGUAGGCGGUUUGUCGCGUCGUCCGUGAAAACUUGGGGCUCAACCCCAAGCUUGCGGGCGAUACGGGCAGACUUGAGUACUGCAGGGGAGACUGGAAUUCCUGGUGUAGCGGUGAAAUGCGCAGAUAUCGGGAGGAACACCAGUGGCGAAGGCGGCACUCUGGGCCGGUACUGACGCUGAGGAGCGAAAGCGUGGGGAGCGAACAGG